GACAGAGGAGGCGAGCGUUAUCCGGAGUCAUUGGGCGUAAAGGGUACGUAGGCGGCUAGUCAAGUCUGAGGUUAAAGACCACAGCUUAACUGUGGGAAGGCCUUGGAAACUGACUGGCUAGAGUGGGGCAGGGGAUGCGGGAAUUCCCGGUGUAGCGGUUAAAUGCGUAGAUAUCGGGAAGAACACCUGAGGCGAAAGCGCGCAACUGGGCCCUGCCUGACGCUGAGGUACGAAAGCUAGGGGAGCGAAUGGG
rnacentral:rRNA from 1 species